rnacentral:pre_miRNA from 1 species
AGUGGGAUAGCUGGGCCAUAUGGUGGUUCCAUUCCCAUUCUUUGAAGAAUCUCCAUACUCCUUUCCAGAAUGUUUGUACUAAUUUUCAAUCCCACUAGCAAU